AACGAACGCUGGCGGCAUGCCUAACACAUGCAAGUCGAACGAGACCUUCGGGUCUAGUGGCGCACGGGUGCGUAACGCGUGGGAACCUGCCCUUAGGUUCGGAAUAACUCCCCGAAAGGGGUGCUAAUACCGGAUAAUGUCUUCGGACCAAAGAUUUAUCGCCUUUGGAUGGGCCCGCGUUGGAUUAGCUAGUUGGUAGGGUAAAAGCCUACCAAGGCGACGAUCCAUAGCUGGUCUGGGAGGAUGAUCAGCCACACUGGGACUGAGACACGGCCCAGACUCCUACGGGAGGCAGCAGUGGGGAAUAUUGGACAAUGGGCGAAAGGCUGAUCCAGCAAUGCCGCGUGAGUGAUGAAGGCCUUAGGGUUGUAAAGCUCUUUUAGCCGGGAUGAUAAUGACAGUACCGGGAGAAUAAGCUCCGGCUAACUCCGUG
rnacentral:rRNA from 1 species